rnacentral:rRNA from 1 species
UACGAAGGGGGCUAGCGUUGUUCGGAAUUACUGGGCGUAAAGCGUGCGCAGGCGGUUUUGUAAGACUGUCGUGAAAUCCCCGGGCUUAACCUGGGAAUGGCGAUGGUGACUGCAAGGCUAGAGUUUGGCAGAGGGGGGUAGAAUUCCACGUGUAGCAGUGAAAUGCGUAGAUAUGUGGAGGAACACCGAUGGCGAAGGCAGCCCCCUGGGUCAAAACUGACGCUCAUGCACGAAAGCGUGGGGAGCAAACAGG